CAAGUUGUUUGUUUAGCCAGGGCCUUUCUAACCAUCCCUAUCUGUAUGUUUCCCUUCGUGAACCCCGUUGAGCCUUAGCCAUUUUAUUCAUCAUAAACCCCCUGUUAACUUUUAAUCAUUCAUUUUUAAUUUUUUCCAUUACUCGGUAUGAUUAUGUGAAUUGAAAGAUGUGCAAUAAAACUAAGUUUGGGGUGGAAAUCUUGAAAGAGAGGGCAAGUGCAUAAUAAGAGAUCAUACAAAAAGAAAAAUAGUAUGUAUGUUCCUUAAAAGAAAAAAGAAGAAAAAAAAAGAGAAAAAAAAGAGAAAAAUGCACUUGCCGAGACUUAAGACUCUAACACCUAUAAAAUGCUCGAAAAAUUUGAGUAGAAAAAGAGUCAAAAGAGUGAAAUUAACCCCCAGAGUAUACGUGAUCCACGAGAAAAAGAGAAAGAAAAAUCACACAAUAUGAC
rnacentral:lncRNA from 1 species